AUUGAACGCUGGCGGCAGGCCUAACACAUGCAAGUCGAACGAGUGGCGGACGGGUGAGUAAUGUAUGGGAAACUGCCUGAUGGAGGGGGAUAACUACUGGAAACGGUAGCUAAUACCGCAUACCCUCGGAUGUGCCCAGAUGGGCUUAGCUAGUAGGUGGGGUAAAGGCUCACCUAGGCGACGAUCCCUAGCUGGUCUGAGAGGAUGACCAGCCACACUGGAACGGAGACACGGGCCAGGCUCCUACGGGAGGCAGCAGUGGGGAAUAUUGCACAAUGGGCGCAAGCCUGAUGCAGCGAUGCCGAGUGUAUGAAGAAGGCCGUCGGGUUGUAAAGUACUUUCAGCGGGGAGGCGUUACCCGCAGAAGAAGCACCGGCUAACUCCGUGCCAGCAGCCGCGGUAAUUC
rnacentral:rRNA from 1 species